GCACUACAUUUGACCAGAAUGGCUCCCUAUUCCCUACAUAGUGCACUACAUUUGACCAGAAUGGCUCCCUAUUCCCUACAUAAUGCACUACAUUUGACCAGAAUCUAGGUCUAGUCUGACUGUACAUCAGCCCUCCAGGUCUAGUCUGACUGUACAUCAGCCUCCAGGUCUAGUCUGACUGUACAUCAGGUCUAGUCUGACUGUACAUCAGCCCUCCAGGUCUAGUCUGACUGUACAUCAGCCCUCCAGGUCUAGUCUGACUGUACAUCAGGCCUCCAGGUCUAGUCUGACUGUACAUCAGGUCUAGUCUGACUGUACAUCAGCCCUCCAGGUCUAGUCUGACUGUACAUCAGCCCUCCAGGUCUAGUCUGACUGUACAUCAGCCUCCAGGUCUAGUCUGACUGUACAUCAGCCCUCCAGGUCUAGUCUGACUGUACAUCAGCCCUCCAGGUCUAGUCUGACUGUACAUCAGCCCUCCAGGUCUAGUCUGACUGUACAUCAGCCCUCCAGGUCUAGUCUGACUGUACAUCAGCCCUCCAGGUCUAGUCUGACUGUACAUCAGCCCUCCAGGUCUAGUCUGACUGUACAUCAGCCCUCCAGGUCUAGUCUGACUGUACAUCAG